rnacentral:rRNA from 1 species
UACGUAGGGGGCUAGCGUUGUCCGGAAUCAUUGGGCGUAAAGAGCGUGUAGGCGGCUUGGUAAGUCCGCUGUGAAAGUCCAGGGCUCAACCCUGGAAUGCCAGUGGAUACUGUCAAGCUAGAGUCCGGAAGAGGCGAGUGGAAUUCCUGGUGUAGCGGUGAAAUGCGCAGAUAUCAGGAGGAACACCAAUGGCGAAGGCAGCUCGCUGGGACGGUACUGACGCUGAGACGUGAAAGCGUGGGGAGCAAACAGG